CAGUUAGUGCUCUAGCUAAUUACAAAUCAGGAAUGUCAAAAUUCAGCAAGUCUAUUAUAUGUGAAUGGUUCUGUAAAAAUAAGUUACUAAAAAGUAUUAGCAACAAUUAGGUGUGAGUGUGUGGGUGUUUGUGUGUAAGGCUUGUCUUUCCCUAACACACG